rnacentral:rRNA from 1 species
AUGUCGAUUUGAGGUUGUUCCCUUGAGGAGUGGCUUUCGGAGCUAACGCGUUAAAUCGACCGCCUGGGGAGUACGGCCGCAAGGUUAAAACUCAAAUGAAUUGACGGGGGCCCGCACAAGCGGUGGAGCAUGUGGUUUAAUUCGAUGCAACGCGAAGAACCUUACCUACUCUUGACAUCCAGAGAACUUAGCAGAGAUGCUUUGGUGCCUUCGGGAACUCUGAGACAGGUGCUGCAUGGCUGUCGUCAGCUCGUGUUGUGAAAUGUUGGGUUAAGUCCCGCAACGAGCGCAACCCUUAUCCUUUGUUGCCAGCGAUUCGGUCGGGAACUCAAAGGAGACUGCCGGUGAUAAACCGGAGGAAGGUGGGGAUGACGUCAAGUCAUCAUGGCCCUUACGAGUAGGGCUACACACGUGCUACAAUGGCGUAUACAAAGAGAAGCGACCUCGCGAGAGCAAGCGGAACUCAUAAAGUACGUCGUAGUCCGGAUUGGAGUCUGCAACUCGACUCCAUGAAGUCGGAAUCGCUAGUAAUCGUAGAUCAGAAUGCUACGGUGAAUACGUUCCCGGGCCUUGUACACACCGCCCGUCACACCAUGGGAGUGGGUUGCAAAAGAAGUAGGUAGCUUAACCUUCGGGAGGGCGCUUACCACUUUGUGAUUCAUGACUGGGGUGAAGUCGUAAAGGGGAAAC